rnacentral:rRNA from 1 species
CGGGGCUACUGCUCUGUAAUUGGCAUGGGGGCGACCUUCACCCUCGCCCGAGUACCCAUUGGAGGGCAAGUCUGGUGCCAGCAGCCGCGGUAAUUCCAGCUCCAAUAGCGUAUAUUAAACUUGUUGCAGUUAAAAAGCUCGUAGUUGUACUUUAUGUCCGCCCUAGUGUUUUUCCACUUGGCGGACGCCUCGUUACUUUGAGAAAAUUAGAGUGUUUCAAGCAGGUUUCGCCUGUAUAAUUGAGCAUGGAAUAACCUUGUAUGACCCUGUCGUACCGUUGGUUGGCUUUGGGUAAUGGUUAAUAGGAACGGUUGGGGGCAUUCGUACUCGACUGUCAGAGGUGAAAUUCUUAGAUUUGUCGAUGACGCACGACUGCGAAAGCAUUUGCCAAGGACGCUUCCAUUAAUCAAGAAC